rnacentral:rRNA from 1 species
GGGUUGUGAGGUUAAGCGACUAAGCGUACACGGUGGAUGCCCUGGCAGUCAGAGGCGAUGAAGGGCGUGCUAAUCUGCGAUAAGCGCCGGUAAGGUGAUAUGAACCGUUAUAACCGGCGAUACCCGAAUGGGGAAACCCAGUGUGACUCGUCACACUAUCAUUAACUGAAUCCAUAGGUUAAUGAGGCGAACCGGGGGAACUGAAACAUCUAAGUACCCCGAGGAAAAGAAAUCAACCGAGAUUCCCCCAGUAGCGGCGAGCGAACGGGGAGGAGCCCAGAGCCUGAAUCAGCAUGUGUGUUAGUGGAAGCGUCUGGAAAGGCGCGCGAUACAGGGUGACAGCCCCGUACACAAAAGCGCAUGUGCUGUGAGCUCGAUGAGUAGGGCGGGACACGUGGUAUCCUGUCUGAAUAUGGGGGGACCAUCCUCCAAGGCUAAAUACUCCUGACUGACCGAUAGUGAACCAGUACCGUGAGGGAAAGGCGAAAAGAACCCCGGCGAGGGGAGUGAAAAAGAACCUGAAACCGUGUACGUACAAGCAGUGGGAGCCCCACCACUAAGCCAGUGGUGAACUCCACAUACGCAUCCUUUGCUGAGGAUACGGUUAACGGAGCGAAAGCGACGUUCAACCUCAAAAGAAGCAGAGGGGGCUUAGUGGUGGGGUGACUGCGUACCUUUUGUAUAAUGGGUCAGCGACUUAUAUUCUGUAGCAAGGUUAACCGUAUAGGGGAGCCGUAGGGAAACCGAGUCUUAACCGGGCGUUAAGUUGCAGGGUAUAGACCCGAAACCCGGUGAUCUAGCCAUGGGCAGGUUGAAGGUUGGGUAACACUAACUGGAGGACCGAACCGACUAAUGUUGAAAAAUUAGCGGAUGACCUGUGGCUGGGGGUGAAAGGCCAAUCAAACCGGGAGAUAGCUGGUUCUCCCCGAAAGCUAUUUAGGUAGCGCCUCGUGAACUCAUCUCCGGGGGUAGAGCACUGUUUCGGCUAGGGGGCCAUCCCGGCUUACCAACCCGAUGCAAACUGCGAAUACCGGAGAAUGUUAUCACGGGAGACACACGGCGGGUGCUAACGUCCGUCGUGAAGAGGGAAACAACCCAGACCGCCAGCUAAGGUCCCAAAGUCAUGGUUAAGUGGGAAACGAUGUGGGAAGGCCCAGACAGCCAGGAUGUUGGCUUAGAAGCAGCCAUCAUUUAAAGAAAGCGUAAUAGCUCACUGGUCGAGUCGGCCUGCGCGGAAGAUGUAACGGGGCUAAACCAUGCACCGAAGCUGCGGCAGCGACACUGAUGUGUUGUUGGGUAGGGGAGCGUUCUGUAAGCCUGUGAAGGUGGCCUGUGAGGGUUGCUGGAGGUAUCAGAAGUGCGAAUGCUGACAUAAGUAACGAUAAAGCGGGUGAAAAGCCCGCUCGCCGGAAGACCAAGGGUUCCUGUCCAACGUUAAUCGGGGCAGG